GUGAGUGUAGCUCAGUUGGUUAGAGCACCAGGUUGUGGUCCUGGGAGUCGGGGGUUCGAAUCCCCUCACUCACC
rnacentral:tRNA from 1 species